rnacentral:rRNA from 1 species
GUGGGGAAUUUUGCGCAAUGGGGGAAACCCUGACGCAGCAACGCCGCGUGCGGGACGAAGGCCUUCGGGUUGUAAACCGCUUUCAGCAGGGAAUAUAGUGAAGGUACCUGCAGAAGAAGCUCCGGCUAACUACGUGCCAGCAGCCGCGGUAAUACGUAGGGAGCGAGCGUUAUCCGGAUUCAUUGGGCGUAAAGCGCGCGUAGGCGGCCCGUCAAGCGGGGUUUCAAAUCCAGGGGCUCAACCUCUGGCCGGACCCCGAACUGGCGGGCUCGAGUGCGGUAGAGGAAGGUGGAAUUCCCAGUGUAGCGGUGAAAUGCGCAGAUAUUGGGAAGAACACCGAUGGCGAAGGCAGCCUUCUGGGCCGCCACUGACGCUGAGGCGCGAAAGCUAGGGGAGCGAACAGGA